rnacentral:tRNA from 1 species
GCCGGUGUUGGGCAACGGUAGCCCGCUGGUCUUGAAAACCAGUUUCGCAAGAUAUCCAGGUUCGAUUCCUGGCACCGGCG